AGCAGCCGCGGUAAUUCCAGCUCCAAUAGCGUAUAUUAAAGUUGUUGCAGUUAAAAAGCUCGUAGUUGAAUUUCGGGAUCAAUUAAUUGGUCGUGCCUCUGGUACGUACUGAUUUUAUUGGUUUCUCCCUUCUGACGAACCAUGAUGUCAUUAAUUUGAUGUCGUGGAGAAUCAGGACUGUUACUUUGAAAAAAUUUAGAGUGUUUAAAGCAAGCUAACGCUUGAAUACAUUAGCAUGGAAUAAUGAAAUAGGACGUUUGAUCCUAUUUUGUUGGUUUCUAGGAUCGACGUAAUGAUUAAUAGGGAUAGUUGGGGGCGAUUAGUAUUCAAUUGUCAGAGGUGAAAUUCUUGGAUUUAUUGAAGACUAACUACUGCGAAAGCAUUUGCCAAGGAUGUUUUCAUUAAUCAAGAACGAAAGUUAGGGGAUCGAAGACGAUCAGAUACCGUCGUAGUCUUAACCAUAAACUAUGCCGACUAGGGAUCGGAUGAUGUUAAUUUUUUAAUGACUCAUUCGGCGCCU
rnacentral:rRNA from 1 species